rnacentral:lncRNA from 1 species
AAAAUAAUUUUUCUGAGUCAAGAAGGGGAUUAUGAACUAAUGAUUUCUACUUGAAUGUCUAACCACUUUCUAGCACCAUUCUAGAUUUACUGACUGCAGAUAAUACUAUAGAUGCUAAAGUGGAACAACCAAUCAACUAUACACACUUGCUAGCUUGUUAGAAAGAACCAAGACUAACCUCCAACACUAACCUGACUUCACUGCUUGUCUUGGGGCUUGGUAUACAUGGGAUCGGAUUCUUCAGAUUAUAUAUCACAUUCCUCUCUCUAAUUUCGACCCUAGAUUAGUUAGUCAAAAAAAAUAUAAAAUAAAAUAAAUACAUAUAAUAAAAUAAGAUCUAUUGUUUAAUUAGGGCGAGUCUGAACAGGACUUGGUGGCUAAAACCAUUAAGGCUUGAUUCAUAAAAGACUCCAUUAAAAGAGUUCGAAACGGGACUUGGAGG